rnacentral:rRNA from 1 species
UACAGAGGUCUCAAGCGUUGUUCGGAUUCAUUGGGCGUAAAGGGUGCGUCGGUGGCGCGCUAAGUCAGGUGUGAAAUUUCGGAGCUUAACUCCGAAACUGCAUUUGAUACUGGUGUGCUUGAGGACUGGAGAGGAGACUGGAAUUUACGGUGUAGCAGUGAAAUGCGUAGAGAUCGUAAGGAAGACCAGUGGCGAAGGCGGGUCUCUGGACAGUUCCUGACACUGAGGCACGAAGGCCAGGGGAGCAAACGGG